GCGCCCGUAGCUCAAUAGGAAGAGCAGGGCCCUUCUAAGGCUCAGGUUGCAGGUUCGAGUCCUGCCGGGCGCGCCC
rnacentral:tRNA from 1 species